UACGUAGGGGGCAAGCGUUGUCCGGAAUCAUUGGGCGUAAAGAGCGUGUAGGCGGCUCGAUAAGUCUGCUGUGAAAGUUCAGGGCUCAACCCUGAAAUGCCGGUGGAAACUGUCGAGCUAGAGUCCGGAAGAGGCGAGUGGAAUUCCGGGUGGAGCGGUGAAAUGCGUAGAGAUCCGGAGGAACACCGACGGCGUAGGCAGCGCCCUGGCUGUGAAUAAAGCUGACACUGAGGCACGAAAGCUGGGGGAGCAAACAGG
rnacentral:rRNA from 1 species